rnacentral:lncRNA from 1 species
AUGGCAGCCUCUUGAAGAGGAAUGAGUUGAGAUAUAUACUUCUUAUGAAAGGAAAAGCACAGCAUAUAAAGGAUUGGUCCUACUCAGGCUUUCAGGGAUGCAUUUGGGAUCUGGAAAUUUGUUCUUUGUAAACAAGAGGGAAGCAUAGUUUCCUGAGAAUAUCGUGCUGUAGCUGCCACAGGUAAGUACUUUAGCCCACAGACCUGGGUGAAACUCUGCAUUCUGUCAUUCUAACCAGGGGGC